GCCUGGGUGGCUCAGUUGAUUGAGCAUCCGACUUUGGCUCAGGUCAUGAUCUCAUUGGUGGGUUCGAGCCCCACAUCGGGCU
rnacentral:tRNA from 1 species